rnacentral:rRNA from 1 species
GCGAACGGGUGAGUAACACGUGGGAACUUUCCUUAAGUUCGGGAUAACCCAUCGAAAGAUGGGACAAUACCGGAUGUGCCCCGCCCUUUUGGUAACGAAUAAUUCAAAAGAAUUGUUCCUUGCCAAAAGGGCUGGGUAAAGAUUUAUCGCUUAAGGUGAGGCCCGCGUCCCAUCAGCUAGUUGGUAGGGUAAAGGCCUACCAAGGCUACGACGGGUAGCGGAACCGAGAGGUUGAUCCGCCACACUGGGACUGCGACACGGCCCAGACUCCUACGGGAGGCAGCAGUUUGGAAUUUUGGACAAUGGACGAAAGUCUGAUCCAGCGACGCCGCGUGCACGAAGAAGGUCUUCGGAUUGUAAAGUGCUUUUAGCAGGGAAAAAUUUUGAUUGUACCUGCAGAAUAAGAGGUUGCUAACUCUGUGCCAGCAGCAGCGGUGAUACAGAGACCUCAAGCGUUAUCCGGAAUCAUUGGGCGUAAAGCGCACCGAUAGGUGGUUUUAUUAGUCUUGGGUAAAAGCCCGAAGCUUAACUUCGGAGUUUGCUUAAGAUACUGUAAGACUAGAGGGGCAAAGAGGUAACUGGAACCAACGGUGUAGUAGUGAAAUGCGUUGAUAUCGUUGGGAACACCGAAAGCGAAGGCAGGUUACUGGGUGCCACCUGACACUGCUAGGACGAGAGCGUGGGGAGCGAAUGGGAUUAGAUACCCCAGUAGUCCACGCUGUAAACGAUGAGUGCUAGGCAUGCGCGAGUAUCGACCCUCGUGCGAGCCGCAGCUAACGCGUUAAGCACUCCGCCUGGGGAGUACGGCCGCAAGGCUAAAACUCAAAGGAAUUGACGGGAACCCGCACAAGCGGUGGAGCAUGUGGUUUAAUUCGACGGUAAGCGAGGAACCUUACCAGGGUUUGACAUGUACCUGCAAGCGCACGGAAACGUGUGAUCUUCGAGAGUGGUACACAGGUGCUGCACGGUUGUCGUCAGCUCGUGUCGUGAGAUGUUCCCUUAAGUGGGAGAACGAGCGCAACCCCCGUGAUAUGUUGAUUUUCAUAUCAGACUGCCAGCGUUUAAGCUGGAGGAAGGUGGGGAUGACGUCAAAUCAGCGUGGCUUUUACGCCCUGGGCGACACACGUGCUACAAUGGGUAGGAACAAUGGGACGCAAAACCGUAAGGUGGAGCAAAUCCUCUCAAAAACUACCCUCAGUUCAGAUUGAGGGCUGCAACUCGCCCUCAUGAAGCUGGAAUCGCUAGUAACCGUGAAUCAGCCUCGUCACGGUGAAUACGUUCUCGGGUUUUGUACACACCGCCCGUCAAGCCAUGGAAGUGGGUAGUACCCAAAGAUUUCGUAAGAGAUUUAAGGUAAGACUCAUGACUGGGGCU